rnacentral:rRNA from 1 species
AUGGUGGCCGGCCGUGGGUUCGGGCUGGUUCCGACGUACGGCGGCUUGGUCAUGGCUACUGCCCCUGCUGCAACCCUGGCAGAUCCUAUGAACCAAGGUGCAAGUGCAGUUGCCCAGGCGUCGAACGUGGACGUGGUACUGAAACCUGCUGCUGCUGUACCUACCACAACUUUGACAGCGGCAGUGGGUUCAGAAACAGGCGCGCCUGCUGUUGGUCGCAUAACUGAAGCGAGCACUAUGCUCCCGGUAGCAAAUUCAGCAAUGUUGGUAGUGGUGGGGAACAAGCAGAUGGAUGGGAUCUACAUCGACAAAGGCCCUGCGACGCACCUUUUUGUCGCAGGUUCCGACUGCAAGACAGAAGAGGCAGUCAAGAUAUCUGGAAAGAAUAUGAAGAAAAAGGGUACAGAGCAGGGUGUGGUCAACAUUGUAUCAGUUCUGGGCAAGAGAGGGGACAGGGUACAGGAAGGGGUACAUGAGUCACUUCUGAAGGGGGAGGUAUGUAACUAG